CAGCCGCCGCGGGAAUACGAAGGGGGCUAGCGUUGUUCGGAUUUACUGGGCGUAAAGCGCACGUAGGCGGAUCGAUCAGUCAGGGGUGAAAUCCCAGAGCUCAACUCUGGAACUGCCUUUGAUACUGUCGAUCUGGAGUAUGGAAGAGGUGAGUGGAAUUCCGAGUGUAGAGGUGAAAUUCGUAGAUAUUCGGAGGAACACCAGUGGCGAAGGCGGCUCACUGGUCCAUUACUGACGCUGAGGUGCGAAAGCGUGGGGAGCAAACAGGAUUAGAUACCCCUGUAGUCCCUGUCUCUUAUAA
rnacentral:rRNA from 1 species